ensembl:lncRNA
AACUUAUUACAGCGGCUCUUAGACCUCAAGACUUGCAUUGUCUUCUUUGUCUUUCAUACUUCCACUGCUUUUAGUCUACAUGGCAAAUGUUCUGCCGUGGUCUUUCUCCCCCUCGUGGGCGGUUUCAUUCAAUGCAGUUUAGGUGUAAUUCUUCCUGCAGAGCACCGUGAUAACCACCAGAUGUCCCUCCAUGGCACAACAUGUCCUCAUGUGUCUUUCUGAAUGGCAGUCUUUGUGGACUCACUGCGUGUGUAGCCGAAUCUCUGCCUCCAUUAUAUCUGGAAUGUGUGGAUUGUGAUAGAACAUCUACACACACACACACACACACACAGCAGUUAGUGGUUAGCAGACGCAGUUAAAAGCAUGUGAACUUGCAUAAUGGAAUCACAGCCUGUACUUGCUUGGCGGAUUGACAUGAGAUGCUGCGAGAGAGUUGUGCUGCUUUUAUAUCAGGUAAAAAAGUUAUCACUUCCUAACCUAAAAACACAUCAACACUCCCACGUGACACAAAGUCAUUAUUAUUGGUAAUAACUGUGUCAUCACGCAACCUGCAGAAAACGGGAGCAUGUUCCAUUUCCUGUUUGGCAGCUUUGAGUCUGUAAGACAUGAAUGCGUUUCAGCC